rnacentral:rRNA from 1 species
UGGGGAAUAUUGGACAAUGGGGGCAACCCUGAUCCAGCCAUGCCGCGUGAGUGAUGAAGGCCUUCGGUUGUAAAGCAUCUUUGGCGGGGUGACGGAUGAUGACGGUACCCGCAGAAUAAGCCCCGGCUAACUUCGUGCCAGCAGCCGCGGUAAGACGAAGGGGGCUAGCGUUGUUCGGAAUUACUGGGCGUAAAGCGAGUGUAGGCGGUUGCCGUAGUCAGGUGUGAAAGCCUUGAGCUCAACUCAAGAAAUGCACUUGAUACUGGGUGACUAGAGGACCGGAGAGGAUAGUGGAAUUCCCAGUGUAGUGGUGAAAUACGUAGAGAUUGGGAAGAACACCAGUGGCGAAGGCGGCUAUCUGGACGGUUACUGACGCUAAGACUCGAAAGCGUGGGGAGCAAACAGGAUUAGAUACCCUGGUAGUCCACGCCGUAAACGAUGGGUGCUAGACGUUGGCGAGCUUGCUCGUCAGUGUCGCAGCUAACGCGUUAAGCACCCCGCCUGGGGAGUACGGCCGCAA